CCUACGGGAGGCAGCAGUGGGGAAUAUUGCACAAUGGGGGAAACCCUGAUGCAGCGACGCCGCGUGAGUGAAGAAGUAUUUCGGUAUGUAAAGCUCUAUCAGCAGGGAAGAAGAAAGACGGUACCUGACUAAGAAGCCCCGGCUAACUACGUGCCAGCAGCCGCGGUAAUACGGAGGGGGGAAGCGUUAUCCGGAUUUACUGGGUGUAACGGGAGCGUAGACGGCUGUGCAAGUCUGAAGUGAAAGCCCAGGGCUCAACCCUGGGACUGCUUUGGAAACUGUGGAGCUAGAGUGCUGGAGAGGUAAGUGGAAUUCCUAGUGUAGCGGUGAAAUGCGUAGAUAUUAGGAGGAACACCAGUGGCGAAGGCGGCUUACUGGACAGUAACUGACGUUGAGGCUCGAAAGCGUGGGGAGCAAACAGGAUUAGAUACCCGUGUAGUC
rnacentral:rRNA from 1 species